UUUACAAACGUAAAGGAAUUCCGUAAAAGUGAAUAAAACAAACGUGUUCUGGAGCAGUGAUUAAAUUAGAUAAUAGUACUUGGUCAAGAGAGGAUUACAGUUCUUCCCAGACGAUAUACAAUUGUUUGGAUCUCGCAUAUGUUUUUAUUAAAACCAUUUAUUGGAGUAUACAUUAUACGUGUUAACAUACUGAUACCUGUACAUAAGUGAUCGAGCCAAAAGCAGUAUUAUACAAGAACUCUAUACCCUUCAUUACUGUGUAAGCGUAUAUUGCAUAUUGUAAAUUUCGUAUAAAAUGGUGUACAUUCGUGUUAUUGGCUCUAUUGUGGAACCUUUGUUUCCUGUAUGUUUGAUACACAUUUCUCUCAGAUUCACAGGCUUCCUUUGCCUGAAAAACGCGAAACCUUUUCCUUCAAGAACGUGUCCUAAUACCCUCAAGGCUGGAUAGACCAUUUUACGAAAAAUUUACGCACCUUGCAAAGUUUGUUUUCGUGCACAGAAAGAUAUAUCAUGCAAAAUGGAAAUCACAUGGAUCAAAGUUGUGACAAGCAGCAGUGUUUGGAGCAGUCUUUCAGGUUUCACCAGCUAUGCUCUACUCCAAGGAAGUUAAAACAAGACCGAACAUACAAGUUUGCCGACAGUCAGUGAGAGGAAAAAAUGGACGAAUGCCCAAAGAUUGAAGUGAUGUGAAAGCCAAAUGUCGUUGCUCCUCAAUUUACUUGAGCCCUGAUUUACCAGAAGCAAGUGGUGUUGCAAAAUGACCAAUGUAAGGUUUCUUCGACCACUUAAAGCACGAUACCAAGAAACACGAUCACCUUAAGCCUGGGCUAGAGAAAAGUAUAAAUUUUGGGAAGAAAGCAAAAUUGGAUCGACCCCCAAAUCAGAGAAUAAAAAAAAUGGGGUUCGAUUCUUUGACCAUUUCCCCUCUACCCACCUGCCUCUCUGAGGCAUUUUCUAAAAGUUAAAUACCUUAGAGGGAAACCAAAAACGGUUAACCUUUCAUCAUGCCCUACUACACCCGACCUUUUCUGUCUACCUUUUGAUACAAAUGUCCUUUGAUAUGAUCAACUCAUAUUACAGUACAGUGAUAUUACAAUACAAUCUUCUAAUAUAUUACACUAUAUAUUAUAAUACUAUAUAUUACUUCCUGAUUACAAUCUUUUAAUACAGUUGUUAAUACAGUGUUUUUUUUUCAUCCAUCCAACCUCCCCCACCGCACCCACCUCUCACAGGCAGUUUUAUAAAGUACUUGCAAAAGUUGUCUACUUUGUGGUGUUAAUAUUUAUUUCAAACGCAUGCGUUUGUGUAACCAAACGUCUGUCUUAAUACACAUGCGUAUUACGAAGAUUUCGUUACCACUAUACAAAACUAUUUUUAUUAGGACUGAAAAAAAACUCGUUAUUGGAGCUGGUGUGGUGGUGGGUUGUAAGACCUCCAAUUUAAGCCUUCUUGUCGAGGAUGAUCUUGGUUUUUGAGAUGGCCAUUAUUUCAUGAAACCUGUGAAGAGAUGGAGAAUAAAUUCGAAUAAGACAAAAUGUAA